AUUGAACGCUGGCGGCAGGCUUAACACAUGCAAGUCGAACGAGUGGCGGACGGGUGAGUAAUGUCUGGGAAACUGCCUGAUGGAGGGGGAUAACUACUGGAAACGGUAGCUAAUACCGCAUACCAUCGGAUUUGCCCAGAUGUGAUUAGCUAGUAGGUGGUGUAAAGGCUCACCAAGGCGACGAUCACUAGCGGGUCUGAGAGGAGGAUCAGCCACACUGGAACUGAGACACGGUCCAGACUCCUACGUGGGGAAGCAGUGGGGAAUAGUGCACAAUGGGCGAAAGCCUGAUGCAGCCAUGCGGCUUGUAUGAAGAAGGCCUUCGGGUUGUAAAGUACUUUCGGCGGGGAGGCGUUACCCGCAGAAGAAGCACCGGCUAACUCCGUGCCAGCAGCCGCGGUAAUUC
rnacentral:rRNA from 1 species